AGUUUGAUCCUGGCUCAGAUUGAACGCUGGCGGCAGGCCUAACACAUGCAAGUCGAGCGGUAGCACAGAGAGCUUGCUCUCGGGUGACGAGCGGCGGACGGGUGAGUAAUGUCUGGGAAACUGCCUGAUGGAGGGGGAUAACUACUGGAAACGGUAGCUAAUACCGCAUAAUGUCGCAAGACCAAAGUGGGGGACCUUCGGGCCUCAUGCCAUCAGAUGUGCCCAGAUGGGAUUAGCUAGUAGGUGGGGUAACGGCUCACCUAGGCGACGAUCCCUAGCUGGUCUGAGAGGAUGACCAGCCACACUGGAACUGAGACACGGUCCAGACUCCUACGGGAGGCAGCAGUGGGGAAUAUUGCACAAUGGGCGCAAGCCUGAUGCAGCCAUGCCGCGUGUGUGAAGAAGGCCUUCGGGUUGUAAAGCACUUUCAGCGGGGAGGAAGGCGGUGAGGUUAAUAACCUCAUCGAUUGACGUUACCCGCAGAAGAAGCACCGGCUAACUCCGUGCCAGCAGCCGCGGUAAUACGGAGGGUGCAAGCGUUAAUCGGAAUUACUGGGCGUAAAGCGCACGCAGGCGGUCUGUCAAGUCGGAUGUGAAAUCCCCGGGCUUAACCUGGGAACUGCAUUCGAAACUGGCAGGCUAGAGUCUUGUAGAGGGGGGUAGAAUUCCAGGUGUAGCGGUGAAAUGCGUAGAGAUCUGGAGGAAUACCGGUGGCGAAGGCGGCCCCCUGGACAAAGACUGACGCUCAGGUGCGAAAGCGUGGGGAGCAAACAGGAUUAGAUACCCUGGUAGUCCACGCCGUAAACGAUGUCGAUUUGGAGGUUGUGCCCUUGAGGCGUGGCUUCCGGAGCUAACGCGUUAAAUCGACCGCCUGGGGAGUACGGCCGCAAGGUUAAAACUCAAAUGAAUUGACGGGGGCCCGCACAAGCGGUGGAGCAUGUGGUUUAAUUCGAUGCAACGCGAAGAACCUUACCUGGUCUUGACAUCCACAGAACUUUCCAGAGAUGGAUUGGUGCCUUCGGGAACUGUGAGACAGGUGCUGCAUGGCUGUCGUCAGCUCGUGUUGUGAAAUGUUGGGUUAAGUCCCGCAACGAGCGCAACCCUUAUCCUUUGUUGCCAGCGGUCCGGCCGGGAACUCAAAGGAGACUGCCAGUGAUAAACUGGAGGAAGGUGGGGAUGACGUCAAGUCAUCAUGGCCCUUACGACCAGGGCUACACACGUGCUACAAUGGCAUAUACAAAGAGAAGCGACCUCGCGAGAGCAAGCGGACCUCAUAAAGUAUGUCGUAGUCCGGAUUGGAGUCUGCAACUCGACUCCAUGAAGUCGGAAUCGCUAGUAAUCGUAGAUCAGAAUGCUACGGUGAAUACGUUCCCGGGCCUUGUACACACCGCCCGUCACACCAUGGGAGUGGGUUGCAA
rnacentral:rRNA from 1 species